GUCAAAGGUGAACAGAAGAGCAAGGUGUGCUGAAGGACUACAUAUGCUUCCAAAGUCACUAAGUACCUGUCCAUAGACAUAGCAUCCAUAUUUUCAGAUUGAACAUGACAUAAGAAGAAUAAAAAUGAGUAUUGGGUCGUAUAUCUGAGAUAUAUACUGUGAGCAAUAACAGAAGACAGAGCCCAAGCAGGAGUGCUCUGAAGUCCCAUAAUCCAGAAGACCAAUGCAAUGAUAAAGCUUCUGGGCCAUACAAAAUCAGGGGAUGGCUGGAUUUGGCACGUGGAUUAUAAUUUGCCACCCCUGAUUGAAAGUAUUGUGAGCAAGUCUCCAUUGACAGAAUGAAAGCAGGAUGAGAUGAAGAUAAGAUGCUUGAUAUCACAGUGUGUAAGGAAAAAUAGGAAUCGACGUACACACUUAGUUUGGAAUUGAACAUUCAGGGGCACCUGGAUGGCUCAGUUGGUUAAGCAUCUGCCUUCAUCUCAGGUCAUGAUCCCA